UACGUAGGUGGCAAGCGUUGUCCGGAAUUAUUGGGCGUAAAGCGUACGCAGGCGGUUCCUUAAGUCUGAUGUGAAAGCCCACGGCUCAACCGUGGAGGGUCAUUGGAAACUGGGGAACUUGAGUACAGAAGAGGAGAGUGGAAUUCCACGUGUAGCGGUGAAAUGCGUAGAGAUGUGGAGGAACACCAGUGGCGAAGGCGACUCUCUGGUCUGUAACCGACGCUGAGGUACGAAAGCGUGGGGAGCGAACAGG
rnacentral:rRNA from 1 species